rnacentral:tRNA from 1 species
ACCUGAGUAGUUUAAUUAAAAUACAAGUUUGUGGUGCUUGAGAUGUGAUAGUGUUCACUUUGGGUA